AUUGAACGCUGGCGGCAUGCUUUACACAUGCAAGUCGAACGGUAACAGGCCGCAAGGUGCUGACGAGUGGCGAACGGGUGAGUAAUGCAUCGGAACGUGCCCAGUCGUGGGGGAUAACUACUCGAAAGAGUAGCUAAUACCGCAUACGAUCUAUGGAUGAAAGCGGGGGACCGUAAGGCCUCGCGCGAUUGGAGCGGCCGAUGUCGGAUUAGGUAGUUGGUGGGGUAAAGGCUCACCAAGCCAACGAUCUGUAGCUGGUCUGAGAGGACGACCAGCCACACUGGACUGAGACACGGCCCAGACUCCUACGGGAGGCAGCAGUGGGGAAUUUUGGACAAUGGGCGCAAGCCUGAUCCAGCAAUGCCGCGUGCAGGAAGAAGGCCUUCGGGUUGUAAACUGCUUUUGUACGGAACGAAACGGCUCUGGUUAAUACCCGGGGCUAAUGACGGUACCGUAAGAAUAAGCACCGGCUAACUACGUG
rnacentral:rRNA from 1 species